AAACCGAGUGGAAGUCCGUCCAAGAAAAUCUCCGCGGGAGCAGAGCGGUGACCGUACCAAAUCUGACACAGGAGGGCGAGGCGAAUAGCCUCAGGCGCGCGAGAGAACCCUACGUGAAGGAACUCGGCAAAUUAACCCCGUAAGUUCGCGAUAAGGGGUGCCCCCGUAAGGGGGGCCACAGGAAAACGACAGCUGCGACUGUUUACUAAAAACACAGGUCUCUGCGAAGUCGUCAAAGACGACGUAUAGGGACUGACGCUUGCCCGCUGUUGGAACGUUAAGGUGACUGGUUAGCCGCAAGGCGAGGCUGGGAACCGAAGCGCCAAUGAAGGGCGGCCGUAACUAUGACGGUCCUAAGGUAGCGAAAUUCCUUGUCGGGUAAGUUCCGACCCGCACGAAUAGCGUAACGACAGCUGUACUGUCUCCACGAGGGACUCGGCGAAAUUGUAGUUGUGGUGAAGAUGCCACAUACCCGCACCAAGACGGAAAGACCCCGUGAACCUUUACUGUAACCUAAUACUGGCUCUAGGUUCGCCAUGUGUAGCAUAGGUGGGAGACGUUAAUGUCGGGGGCGCCAGCCUCCGAAUAGUCUUCAGUGAAAUACCACUCUUGGCGAUCUUGGAGUCUAACCUGCGACCGUUAUCCGGCGUGGGAACAGUGUUAGGCGGGCAGUUUGACUGGGGCGGUCUCCUCCUAAAAGGUAACGGAGGAGUGCAAAGGUACCCUCAAUGCGGUUGGCAAUCGCAUGAAGAGCGUAAAGGUAUAAGGGUGCUUGACUGCGAGACACAUAGGUCGAGCAGGUACGAAAGUAGGUCUUAGUGAUCCGGUGGUCCCGUGUGGAAGGGCCAUCGCUCAUCAGAUAAAAGGUACUCCGGGGAUAACAGGCUGAUCACGCCCAAGAGUCCAUAUCGACGGCGUGGUUUGGCACCUCGAUGUCGGCUCAUCGCAUCCUGGGGCUGAAGGCGGUCCCAAGGGUUGGUCUGUUCGCCCAUUAAAGCGGUACGUGAGCUGGGUUUAGACCGUCGUGAGACAGGUCGGUCCCUAUCUGGUGUGGGCGCAGGAUGAUUGCGGAGACUCUUUCCUAGUACGAGAGGAUUGGAAAGAACGGACCUCUGGUGUGCCAGUUGUCGCGCUAGCGGCAUCGCUGGAUAGCUAUGUCCGGGCUGGAUAAGCGCUGAAAGCAUCUAAGUGCGAAGCCAACUCCAAGACUGGUCAUCCCAUGAGACACCUGGUAGACCACCAGGUUGAUAGGCCGGAAGUGUAAGGACAGCAAUGUUCUCAGCUAACCGGUACUAACCAGUCGAUCGGCUUGAUCC
rnacentral:rRNA from 1 species